UACGUAGGGUGCGAGCGUUAAUCGGAAUUACUGGGCGUAAAGCGUGCGCAGGCGGUCUGUUAAGACCGAUGUGAAAUCCCCGGGCUUAACCUGGGAACUGCAUUGGUGACUGGCAGGCUUUGAGUGUGGCAGAGGGGGGUAGAAUUCCACGUGUAGCAGUGAAAUGCGUAGAGAUGUGGAGGAAUACCGAUGGCGAAGGCAGCCUCCUUGGCCAACACUGACGCUCAUGCACGAAAGCGUGGGGAGCAAACAGG
rnacentral:rRNA from 1 species